GGGAAGUUUGCGAGGACCUGACCUUAGUACGAGAGGACCGGGUUGGACUGACCGCUGGUGUACCGGUUGUGAUGCCAAUUGCAUUGCCGGGUAGCUACGUCGGGAAGAGAUAAGCGCUGAAAGCAUCUAAGUGCGAAACUCCCCUCAAGAUGAGACUUCCAAAUAGGGCCGUCAGAGACGAUGACGUUGAUAGGCUACAGGUGUAAAGGCAGUAAUGUCAUAGCUGAGUAGUACUAAUUGCCCAAAAACUUACCCU
rnacentral:rRNA from 1 species